rnacentral:lncRNA from 1 species
CAGGUAUAAAGGUCUACUUUAGGUCUAACAUUAGGCCUACUGCCUGACUACAGGUAUAAAGGUCUAUAGUUCUACUGCCUGACUGCAGGUAUAAAGGUCUUUAGUUCAACUUCCUGAAUAAAGGCCUACUUUAUGUCUAACAUUAGACCUACUUCCUGACUACAGGUAUAAAGGUCUAUAGUUCUACUUCCUGACUACAGGUUUCAAGGUCUAUAGUUAUUUUUCCUGACUACAGGUAUAAAGGUCUUUAGUUCUACUUCCUGACUACAGAGUGUCUAUAGGUCUCUUAAGGUGUUGCUAUCUAAGGUGAACUCCUCAAAGCUGAAUAUUUUCCAUUGACGUCACGUUGGUGUGAAACCUGUUUACCUCGAUGCUAGACCCUCCUCUUCCUGUCACAACAUGGGUUUCAGAGAAAAGGACCACGAGCUGAAAACUUUCCAUUCAAUUGAACCAAUCGCUGCUCGUAUGUCCUUUCAUGGUAAAGUACAUCUAGUCAUGAACACAGAAAUACGCAGAAAAGACCUUGUUACUCAAAGACCCAGCUACUCUCUGACAGUCACCAUCAGACCAUCAGACCACCAGAUGGACAGGCUGUGUGUUUCUCUGAUUGCAUUCUUAUGAGGAAGGAGACCUGUUUUACGCCUCGUUGGAUAUCCGUCAGGGACAGAGGAGACCAAAGAAGAAGAAGAAGAGAGUCCAGAACUCUGACUUCAGUACCUACACAGCCAUCAAUACCAGCAGAGUGAGACCUAUACCAGCCAUCAAUACCAGCAGAGUGUGAGACCUAUACCAUCCAUCAAUACCAGCAGAGUGAGAC